GCUGUUGGUACUGUCAUGUGUAUUGGGCGGAGACUCCGCUUUUGGUGGCGAUCCUUCUAGUCAGCACACGGUACACAGCACGGCGGUCACGACAAUGAUUACCAUAAUCAUCCUGUCUUCAGCUUCUGUCGACUGUUCUUUCCCGCCAAAAUUUAAAUACGGGAACUCAAAUGUUGGACACUCGCAGCAACUUUCAAAUACACUUUUGAACAACUUUUUGUUUGUCUUUUGCACUUUUCAACUGCCUGAAAUAGAUUUCAGCUAAAUUCACCAGAAAAAAAUGAGCAAACAAUUCAUUGAUGGUUUGGAUUCGGAAAUCUAUUGCCAGGACGAGGAGAGCCUAAGCUGGGAUGAUUUCAGCCAGCUUUUGGAACUUAUUCUGUAGUUGGGUCUGGCUAGCUGUUUCUGGCCUUGGCCUCUGCUCCUGUUGCUACUGUGGCCCUGUUGCUUCUGCUAUUAUAUCUUUCGUUUUCAGCUGCUUUUGCUGCUGUGGCUGUUUG
rnacentral:lncRNA from 1 species